AUACGGAGGAUCCGAGCGUUAUCCGGAUUUACUGGGUUUAAAGGGAGCGUAGGUGGACAGUUAAGUCAGUUGUGAAAGUUUGCGGCUCAACCGUAAAAUUGCAGUUGAUACUGGCUGUCUUGAGUACAGUAGAGGUGGGCGGAAUUCGUGGUGUAGCGGUGAAAUGCUUAGAUAUCACGAAGAACUCCGAUUGCGAAGGCAGCUCACUGGACUGCAACUGACACUGAUGCUCGAAAGUGUGGGUAUCAAACAGGAUUAGAUACCCUGGUAGUCCACACAGUAAACGAUGAAUACUCGCUGUUUGCGAUAUACAGUAAGCGGCCAAGCGAAAGCAUUAAGUAUUCCACCUGGGGAGUACGCCGGCAACGGUGAAACUCAAAGGAAUUGACGGGG
rnacentral:rRNA from 1 species